GAUGAGAGGACAGGUUAGUCUCAGAAGAUUAUGGCUUUCAAAUACAGAUAGAAAUGGAACAGAAAAAGAGCCCUGUUCAGACGGUUUCAAACUGUAUCCUCGUCUCCAUUUCUUUAAACAGAUCACUGAUUUAACAUGGUAAAAUAGAUAUAGUGGGAACAUAGGAAUGAGGGAGGAACAAAAGCUGUACUGUAAAAGUAAAGAGCUGUCACAAGAGGGCAGCACAGUCAAGUCAAUGGGAGCUUAUGUUCCAAACAUCGUACUCCUCUGGUGUGCAUCGAGGCACUAAUGUGUUCUACAGCCCUGUUUCCCCUAGGUAAUGUGUUCUACAGCCCUGUUUCCCCUAGGUAAUGUGUUCUACAGCCCUGUUUCCCCUAGGUCAUGUGUUCUACAGCCCUGUUUCCCCUAGGUCAUGUGUUCUACAGCCCUGUUUCCCCUAGGUAAUGUGUUCUACAGCCCUGUUUCCCCUAGGUAAUGUGUUCUACAGCCCUGUUUCCCCUAGGUAAUGUGUUCUACAGCCCUGUUUCCCCUAGGUAAUGUGUUCUACAGCCCUGUUUCCCCUAGGUAAUGUGUUCUACAGCCCUGUUUCCCCUAGGUAAUGUGUUCUACAGCCCUGUUUCCCCUAGGUAAUGUGUUCUACAGCCCUGUUUCCCCUAGGUAAUGUGUUCUACAGCCCUGUUUCCCCUAGGUAAUGUGUUCUACAGCCCUGUUUCCCCUAUGUCAUGUGUUCUACAGCCCUGUUUCCCCUAGGUAAUGUGUUCUACAGCCCUGUUUCCCCUAGGUCAUGUGUUCUACAGCCCUGUUUCCCCUAGGUAAUGUGUUCUACAGCCCUGUUUCCCCUAGGUAAUGUGUUCUACAGCCCUGUUUCCCCUAGGUAAUGUGUUCUACAGCCCUGUUUCCCCUAGGUAAUGUGUUCUACAGCCCUGUUUCCCCUAGGUAAUGUGUUCUACAGCCCUGUUUCCCCUAGGUAAUGUGUUCUACAGCCCUGUUUCCCCUAGGUAAUGUGUUCUACAGCCCUGUUUCCCCUAGGUAAUGUGUUCUACAGCCCUGUUUCCCCUAGGUAAUGUGUUCUACAGCCCUGUUUCCCCUAGGUAAUGUGUUCUACAGCCCUGUUUCCCCUAGGGCAUGUGUUCAACAGCCCUGUUUCCCCUAGGUAAUGUGUUCUACAGCCCUGUUUCCCCUAGGUAAUGUGUUCUACAGCCCUGUUUCCCCUAGGUAAUGUGUUCUACAGUCCUGUUUCCCCUAGGUAAUGUGUUCUACAGUCCUGUUUCCCCUAGGUAAUGUGUUCUACAGCCCUGUUUCCCCUAGGUAAUGUGUUCUACAGCCCUGUUUCCCCUAGGUAAUGUGUUCUACAGCCCUGUUUCCCCUAGGUAAUGUGUUCUACAGCCCUGUUUCCCCUAGGUAAUGUGUUCUACAGCCCUGUUUCCCCUAGGUAAUGUGUUCUACAGCCCUGUUUCCCCUAGGUAAUGUGUUCUACAGUCCUGUUUCCCCUAUGUCAUGUGUUCUACAGUCCUGUUUCCCCUAUGUCAUGUGUUCUACAGUCCUGUUUCCCCUAUGUCAUGUGUUCUACAGUCCUGUUUCCCCUAUGUCAUGUGUUCUACAGUCCUGUUUCCCCUAUGUCAUGUGUUCUACAGUCCUGUUUCCCCUAUGUCAUGUGUUCUACGGCCCUGUUUCCCCUAUGUCAUGUGUU